rnacentral:rRNA from 1 species
GCUUAACACAUGCAAGUCGAGGGGCAUGAGGAAGAAAGCUUGCUUUCUUUGCUGGCGACCGGCGCACGGGUGAGUAACACGUAUCCAACCUGCCCUUUACUCGGGGAUAGCCUUUCGAAAGAAAGAUUAAUACCCGAUGGCAUAAUGAUUCCGCAUGGUUUCAUUAUUAAAGGAUUCCGGUAAAGGAUGGGGAUGCGUUCCAUUAGGUUGUUGGUGAGGUAACGGCUCACCAAGCCUUCGAUGGAUAGGGGUUCUGAGAGGAAGGUCCCCCACAUUGGAACUGAGACACGGUCCAAACUCCUACGGGAGGCAGCAGUGAGGAAUAUUGGUCAAUGGGCGCUAGCCUGAACCAGCCAAGUAGCGUGAAGGAUGAAGGCUCUAUGGGUCGUAAACUUCUUUUAUAUAAGAAUAAAGUGCAGUAUGUAUACUGUUUUGUAUGUAUUAUAUGAAUAAGGAUCGGCUAACUCCGUGCCAGCAGCCGCGGUAAUACGGAGGAUCCGAGCGUUAUCCGGAUUUAUUGGGUUUAAAGGGAGCGUAGGUGGACUGGUAAGUCAGUUGUGAAAGUUUGCGGCUCAACCGUAAAAUUGCAGUUGAUACUGUCAGUCUUGAGUACAGUAGAGGUGGGCGGAAUUCGUGGUGUAGCGGUGAAAUGCUUAGAUAUCACGAAGAACUCCGAUUGCGAAGGCAGCUCACUGGACUGCAACUGACACUGAUGCUCGAAAGUGUGGGUAUCAAACAGGAUUAGAUACCCUGGUAGUCCACACAGUAAACGAUGAAUACUCGCUGUUUGCGAUAUACAGUAAGCGGCCAAGCGAAAGCAUUAAGUAUUCCACCUGGGGAGUACGCCGGCAACGGUGAAACUCAAAGGAAUUGACGGGGGCCCGCACAAGCGGAGGAACAUGUGGUUUAAUUCGAUGAUACGCGAGGAACCUUACCCGGGCUUAAAUUGCAGUGGAAUGAUGUGGAAACAUGUCAGUGAGCAAUCACCGCUGUGAAGGUGCUGCAUGGUUGUCGUCAGCUCGUGCCGUGAGGUGUCGGCUUAAGUGCCAUAACGAGCGCAACCCUUAUCUUCAGUUACUAACAGGUCAUGCUGAGGACUCUGGAGAGACUGCCGUCGUAAGAUGUGAGGAAGGUGGGGAUGACGUCAAAUCAGCACGGCCCUUACGUCCGGGGCUACACACGUGUUACAAUGGGGGGUACAGAAGGCAGCUAGCGGGUGACCGUAUGCUAAUCCCAAAAUCCUCUCUCAGUUCGGAUCGAAGUCUGCAACCCGACUUCGUGAAGCUGGAUUCGCUAGUAAUCGCGCAUCAGCCACGGCGCGGUGAAUACGUUCCCGGGCCUUGUACACACCGCCCGUCAAGCCAUGGGAGCCGGGGGUACCUGAAGUACGUAACCGCAAGGAUCGUCCUAGGGUAAAACUGGUGACUGGGGC